rfam:Apaloderma vittatum contig67957, whole genome shotgun sequence.
GGACCGGUUACCUCAGUUGGUUAGAGUGUGAUGCUGAUAACACCAAGGUCACGGGUUUGAUCCCCGUUCGGUCUC